rnacentral:sRNA from 1 species
UUAGAUGAAAAUUCUAAUGCCAUGGAUGG